GCGUUUUGGGGGCUUAAACGCGCGUUUUGGGGGCUUAAACGCGCGUUUUGGGGGCUUAAACGCGCGUUUUGGGGGGCUUACCCGAUGCGGGGACCCCGCGCUGAGCCCGCUCGCCGCAGGCACCCAGGCGCUGCCGCCGCUCUUCGCCCUGGGCUACCACCAGAGCCGCUGGAACUACAACGACGAGGAGGACGUGGCGGCGGUGGAGCGGGGCUUCGAGGAGCACGCCAUCCCCUGCGACGUGCUCUGGCUCGACAUCGAGCACGCCGACGGCAAGCGCUACUUCACCUGGGACCCCAGCAAGUUCCCCCAGCCCCGCGCCAUGCUCGAGCGCCUGGCCGCCAAGAAGCGCAAGGUCGGGGGGGGUCCCCGGCUGGGAUGGGGGCGCCGAGGGGGGGUUGCGGGACCCCCCCGGGUCUCCUACGGUGAUUUUUUUGCCCCCCCUCCGCCCCCCGCAGAUGGUGAGCAUCGUGGACCCGCACAUCAAGGUGGACAGCGCCUACCGCGUGCACAGCGAGCUGCGCGCCCGCGGCUUCUACGUCAAGACCAAGGACGGCGGCGACUACGAGGGCUGGUGUUGGCCGGGCUCGGCGGCGUACCCCGACUUCACCAACCCCGAGAUGCGCGCCUGGUGGGCCUCCAUGUUCGCCUACGACCAGUACGAGGGCUCGACCGAGAACCUCUUCACCUGGAACGACAUGAACGAGCCGUCGGUGUUCAGCGGCCCCGAGGUGACGAUGCACAAGGACGCCGUGCACCACGGCGGCUGGGAGCACCGCGACCUCCACAACCUCUACGGCUUCUACGUGCAAAUGGCGACAGCCGAGGGGCAGAUCCAGCGCUCGGGCGGGCGGCAGCGCCCCUUCGUGCUGAGCCGAGCCUUCUUCGCCGGCUCCCAG
rnacentral:lncRNA from 1 species